AAUUAGACUUAAUAGAGUGGUACAGUAUUCUAGUCAACACAGCUAAUCUCGAGGGCGGGGCUAAAAAUCCGUCGAAGGGCAUAUCGAUGAAGUUCCUUGUUUCGGCUCGCGACGCCCAGUCGAGGGUUGAUGCUGGGAGUAAGAAAGAUGGGGCGAUCUGCAAUGGCAUGCAGGCGUUGACCCUGCUUUCGUGGAGACUUACCUUUUGGUAAGAUAAACCUGUAUGUAUAAAUAUGAUACAAACAUACAGAGUAGCCUGCCUUGAGUGAUGUUGGCGGAUGAUAAGUUCGACUUUUCUUGCCUAGGGCCCAAGCAAGGAAGGUUUUGUUAUCGAAACCAAUAUUGCAAAAGAGGCUAAGGAUUAGACUGGUUGCAGAGGAAAACUCCUAGACUGUUCUAAUGGAAGAGGUAUAUUGGGGAUUACAGUGCGGACUAAGUGGUAAUCCAGUUCUGCUCAUGGCGACGUAGUAGUGAUAGAAUUAAAGGGAAACCGCUGUUAUGGCGACAUACAGUUUCUUUCAGGGAAAUCCUACUGGACCUUAAGCCGUAAGAUUUACUCAAUAUACUACCACUUUAAAAAGCUGAUAG
rnacentral:sRNA from 1 species